GGCGUCCUAGCUCAGUCGGUUAGAGCGACAGGCUGUUAACCACCCGUUCGCAGUUCGAUUCUGCGUGGGGUCG
rnacentral:tRNA from 1 species